rnacentral:rRNA from 1 species
UACGGGGGAGCAAGCGUUGUUCGGAUUUACUGGGCGUAAAGGGCGCGUAGGCGGCCACCGCAAGUCGAUUGUGAAAUCUCCGGGCUUAACCCGGAAGGUCAACCGAUACUGCGGGGCUAGAGUGCAGAAGGGGCAACUGGAAUUCUCGGUGUAGCGGUGAAAUGCGUAGAUAUCGAGAGGAACACCUGCGGCGAAGGCGGGUCUCUGGGCAGUAACUGACGCUGAGGAGCGAAAGCGUGGGGAGCGAACAGG